rnacentral:rRNA from 2 species
GCCGCACCGCUGGCCGACCCUGAUCUUCUGUGAAGGGUUCGAGUUGGAGCACGCCUGUCGGGACCCGAAAGAUGGUGAACUAUGCCUGAGCGGGGCGAAGCCAGAGGAAACUCUGGUGGAGGCUCGAAGCGAUACUGACGUGCAAAUCGUUCGUCUGACUUGGGUAUAGGGGCGAAAGACUAAUCGAACCAUCUAGUAGC